GUGAGGAAUAUUGGUCAAUGGGCGGGAGCCUGAACCAGCCAAGUCGCGUGAAGGAAGAAGGAUCUAUGGUUCGUAAACUUCUUUUGCAGGGGAAUAAAGUGCGGGACGUGUCCUGUUUUGUAUGUACCCUGAGAAUAAGGAUCGGCUAACUCCGUGCCAGCAGCCGCGGUAAUACGGAGGAUCCGAGCGUUAUCCGGAUUUAUUGGGUUUAAAGGGUGCGUAGGUGGUUUGAUAAGUCAGCGGUGAAAGUUUGCAGCUUAACUGUAAAAAUGCCGUUGAAACUGUCGGACUUGAGUGUAAAUGAGGUAGGCGGAAUGCGUGGUGUAGCGGUGAAAUGCAUAGAUAUCACGCAGAACUCCGAUUGCGAAGGCAGCUUACUAAGCUACAACUGACACUGAAGCACGAAAGCGUGGGGAUCAAACAGGAUUAGAUACCCGGGUAGUCC
rnacentral:rRNA from 1 species